rnacentral:tRNA from 1 species
UGUAAAGUAAGCUAAGUUAAGCUAUUGGGCUCAUGCCCCGACAAUGGCACUAAGUGCCCUUUGCUA